CAGGACCUGCUCAUGGGAGGCUCAGUGGGUGCUUUCAGAAGCCAGGAUAUGUGGAGGAGGAGGGGCGUCCCCUGCCUGUGGUUUGCAAAGAUGGUUCUGGUGGCUCUGUACUAAGGACUGAGGCUCCAGACUGGAGCUAGGAAUCCAGUUAAGAGGCUCUGUGAUAUUCCCACACCCUUGAGGGUGAUGAGCCUGAGCCCACGCAGUGUCCGAGAGCAUGGGGGAGAAGAGAGGAGCCUGAGAUUUCAGGCUGGAGUCCAGGGCUUGAGGACGAAUUUGGUGCUGGAGAAGGAGUAGUGGAAGAAGAUCCAAUUAAUCCAAGCCAAGGCCUCAAGAGGAGCACAACUUGAAGGCAGCUGGGAAGGGAAGGGACAGGUCGGUUCCGCUGUAGACACCCUGAGUCUGAGGAUCCCUCGGGACUUGUAUGGUUGGGAUGAAGGCUCGAGGGAAGUCAGAGCAGGAGGUGUAGAUUUGGGCUUCUGGAUAUGUGCAUGAAUUAAAUCACAGGGGAAUGAGACUGCCAGGGAGAGGGUACAGAGUAAGAGCGGAAGUCUUGUUAUAAGACCCUUGGGUAAAUAAAGACUCACAGUCCUUUCGGAGGAGGAGCACACCAAGAAACAGUGACCAGAGAGGCCAGGGAACCAGGGAGAGGAGCUGUCAUGGAGAUGCCACCGGGGCUGUGGCUGUUCCCAACGCCUGUCCCUCCUUCCUCUUUCCUAUCCUGUGACUGUCCUUGGCAUAAGCAUAUGGAUAUUCCUACUCCAGAGAAAGAAUCUGGAUCAUGGAAGCCGGUGGUGGUGCUCUCAUCUCCUCACCAGUGAUUGGCUUGGGACUGACCCGUUAGGAUCAAUGAAGUAUGAAGGCCCAGGAAUUAGCAGUUGAAAGGCCUCCAUCAGGAAGCUUUGUCAGGCACCUGUGUGGCACGUUUGCAGCUGUAAUUAGAUUUGGAAUUGGCUUUUCCAGGGGAGCCUGCAGCUCUUGGGAGACCUUGCUGAAGGUGCAGGUUCCCCCGCUGGAGUGGGUCUGUCCAGGCCGGGCUGGGUGGGAUUCUCUAGCCUGUGCUGCUGGUGCUGCUAAGGGUUUGGUUUCCUGGGCAGGAAGGGACCGGAAUCUGGAAGCUCCCUUACCCACAGCAGAUGUGAGGAGGGUGCUGGCCCAAGCAUGCUUGGCUCAAGUUGGUGCUGGAGUCAAAACUAGGGUGGUGGCAGAACUCAGCCUGCCUGACUGGGAAGCAAGUUCACAGGGUGAAGCGUGGAGCUGCCAAGCUCCAAGCUCUGGAAGGCCUGCAGUGUAGACCAAGGGCUAGAAAUAGCAGGCCAGAGAGCUGUGGCUGGCCUUCUCCAGGGACAGCGCUCUUUUAAGUUCAACUAGGAGCUGUGAUUUGAGGUCACUUCUGUGUCUGCCAGGCCCUGGAAAGGGGUAGAUGUCCCUGGAGCACACAGAAGCCUCCUGUUCAUACUGGGCAACCUUGGCCUUGGACCCCAGGGUUUCUGGACCUUGGUUUUCAGGACUGUCCAACCUGGGGAUGGAAAUGGUAUGUGACCUCUUCCCAGAGGCCCUGCAAGGGUAUGCUGAACCUGAGGGCUCCACCUGCCUGACACAUUGGGUCAGUGACCAUGUGGCCAUGACAACAUCUCUUCUUCAACACGGGAGUGGGGAAGAAGCUCAGGGAAGGGGGGUGCUGUCAAAUCAGGAGGAGGAAGGAAUGGGAGUUGGCCAGGACUGGAGACUGGAGAUGCUGGUCAGCACCCAGCAACCAGAACAUUCUAGCACAUUCCAGCACAUUCCUGAAAGGGAGCUUCCUUGGGAAGAAGCUGCAGUUUUACAGGGAUGACAGGGAAGGCACUGUGAAAAUAGUGAAAUUGUCCCAGCUUCUGUGGUACUGUGAGGUUGUGCUUGUCCUCUCCUCCUCUCUCUGCCUCUGCUUCUUUGUUUUCUCUUCCUUUCUGUUUUCCCAGCUCUCCCCUUCCCUUCUGUCUUCUCCCUCCAUCCUUUCUUGUCUCUCCGAAUGUCACCUUGGCGUUGGGUCUCUUUCUGGCCACCACCUGUGACUGAGUCUCUAUCACAUACGCUCACACGUUCUCACCUAGUGUCACACCCACAGUGCCGCGCGCACACACACACACACACACACACGCUCACACGCCCUGGGCCUGGCUGGAUCGUCAUCAUGCUGCUGCCGGCCCUGGGCAACAGAGGAAUCGCACGUGUUCGGCACACUUUCCCUGUGCUCUCACUGACACCUCCUCACUCAUCCCUUGCUUUAUAAAUACUCGCUUACAACGUCACCUGUGUCUUCAUCGCUUUUUAUCAGCAAACAUUCCAAUGCCUUCCUGGUGCCUCCUGCUGCGGUGCGGGGCAGGUGGGCCCUGAGAAGCCACUCCAGCAGCGGGAGGGCAGCCCUCAGCUCUGUGAGCCCCGGCAAAGGCUGCAGUGUCCACGCCGGCACAGUGCUCCCCAUUAGGGCAGUGUGGAGCCAGGGUACCCGAGGGAGUCUGGGUCCUGACUUUCCCAUGCAUCUCUGGCAGACCAUGCAACCUCUUCUGGCCUCGGCUUACUUUUCCUCUCACUUGCUUUUAGAGAUGGGGUGCUGGGCUGGAAUUCUUGGGGUCUGAUAAUCCUCUUGCCUUGGCUGCCCAAGUAGCUGGAACUACAGGUGCUCACCCCCGGUGCUGCCCAGCAGGUCAUUAUUAUUUUAAAUCUAGAAAUUGGGUGUUUUGUUUGCUUCAUUGAUUACACAUGGGUUCUGCGGCGUGCGCUCCCUCCGAGGGUGAGGACAGUGAGUAUAAUGAUGGUACUGACGCCAUUGAGUGUCCCAUGCUGUUUGUCAGGCACUGUUCUAAGUGCCUCAGUGUUUCGGCACCAUCUUAUAACCACCUCGUGAGAUGGUAGUGUUAUGUCUGUUUCACAGGUGAGGAAAUGGAGGUACAGAGAGGUUAAGCUACUUGUCCAAGGUUGCACAACAGGUAAGUAGCUGAGCUGGGUUUCAAACCUAGCACCUGGGCCCAGACCCUACCUCCUUUGCUUGUUUCCCUGAUGGCCUGUGGAAUACUCUCCUUUCCAGACUUUUCUGGGGUGGCCUGGUAGAAUGAUGUUGGUGCCCUCUCCUCAGGACCUCUGAGAAACUAUAUUUACAGGCCUGGCUGUGUGGACAGUGCUCAGGGGAGGUCAUGCGGUCCUGGGACUGUGUGAUCCUCUCUCCUGGGGCCUUCUGAGGGACGUGGGGUCCCUGUGAAGACAGGGGCUGCAUUAACCAUCUGUGUGUCCAGGCUGUGUUGCCCAUUGUGCCUGUCUUUGGAGAAUCACUGUUCCCAGCCCUGCGCGCCAGGCCUCCCGUUUGUCAGCCAUGUUCCCUCUGGUUUCUGUGUAUCUGUGUUGUGUGUUGACUCUGGCUGCUGUCUUUGUUUCACUGCUAAAAGGAGAAUCCAGGUGGAACGAGGCCUAGCUCAUUCCUUCAGUCAGGACGCUGUGCUGACCAUCUAGGGGAUCCCAGGACGAACACAGUGUGCUCUGGCCACAGAAAUCUUGGGGUCCCAUAGAAGCACUCUCCAUCCACUACUGUGCCACAGCUGUUCGUGUGUGUGAGAGUGUGCACUGCCUCCAUGGCACACCCUGCAGGGCCAUGGACCGGGCUCUUGGGGAUGCCUCACAUAGCAGACAAUAGUUAAUAAGUUGGGGUGCAGAGACCCCCAAACACAAAUACAUUGAUUCAUACAACGUCAUUUUUUUUUCAAUACUAGGAAUUGAAAUCGUGGUCUGGCACAAACCAGGCUAAUGCAUUACCUCUGAGCUCCAAUUCCAACCCUUCUUAUUUUUUAUUCUGAGGCAGGAUCUCACUGAGUCACUAAAUUGUCCAGGCUAGCCUCAAACUUGCAAUCCUCCUGCCUCAGCCUCCCUGCAUAGCAGAGUGCAGAUAUAGAUGGCACUUAGGCUGAUGGGACAGCUCAACUCACAGUCACUCAGGGAUCCAGUGUGCCUUUCUUGUCCUUGGCUCUAACCCACUCUCGGUGUUGUCCCCCUGCAUGUGGCUGGAGCCUGGUGAGAGCCUUACGGGCAUUCCAGCCUGUGCGAAGGGUGACGGCAGGGCAGAGAGGCAGCUCACACAUCCUGUUGGCCAGAACUUGGACAUCUGGCCAUGCCUGGUUACAAAGGAGGUGGGGAAAUGUAGUCUAUGGGCAGAUGGUCACAUGUCCAGUCAGAAGUUUAAUGUGGCAGGAAGGGAUAACAAGGGAUCAUUAUCUCCAUUACUCUACCACCAUGAGUCAGGCUGUGGCAUGUGAGGAGAGUACUAUCAGGCAGAAAUUACAGCGGGAGGGGAUUCCAGGUACAUCUCAGAAGAUAGCAGAUGUGGGGAAGGUACAGGACACAUUUGGAGAAAGUGACUAUCCAGCCAGGUGAGGGGGCACAUUCAUCUAAUUCCAGCUACUUCAGAGACUGAGACAGGAUGAUUGCAAGCUCAAGACCAGCCUGGGACAUUUAGCAAGACCUUGUCUCAAAGAAAAGAGUAAAAAUAGGGCUAGGGAUUUAGCUCAGCGGCACCGAGCCUGAGUGGACAGGCUUCACACAACCUCUCAGCCUCCUCUCUUGUCCAACACAUGCUUAACACUGGGCAAGGCACGGGCAGAUCACAAAAGGGGCUGUCAGGGCCUCUCUCCAGGGCUGGGUCUUGGCUGUGUGUGGAUGUGGGAGUGUGGGGCCGUCACCUCGGCUGCACUAGCAGUUUGUCCAGUGUUUGGACAUCUUCUCAGGCCCAGUGGGCUCUGCGCAGCAGCUGGUCUCCUGCAGCUCCCGGCUGUCCAGCUCCUGCUCACCCCAAGGUGACUAUGUCACCUAUAGAGAUUUAGGAAACCAAAACCAUUGUGUGAGCCAGUGGCAUGAAGAAAAGGCACCAGUGCCCAGAUGGAGAGGCUUAGGACAUUCUCGAGGGGGCCUCCUUCUCUCUGGAACCUCGGAUGAAAUCAGCACAGACAUGCGGCGUGGACUCUGGGUCUCAAAAGAGGAGUAGAAACGAUUCAGACUGAGGCCACAGGGACAGGAAAUCACUAAGUAGUCAGCACCUCGCCCCCAUGUGAGGGGCCCCCUUCCCCUGGCCAGGGCUUAUUCCUCACUCAGGAUAUUCUCCCUUUCCUUCUUGUUUUCCCAGCGCAGCGCUCCAGGUGCUUGCAGCAGAAUCACUGGCUGUCCUUCAACAAAUGCAGACUCCUGGGCCGCCUCUCAGAUGUACUGUUAGAAGCUGAGGAUGGGACCCAGGUGUCUGCAUUUUUAACCAGCUCCCUGGGUGACUCUGAGGCACUGCCCACUAGGAACUGUUGGCCCCAAGAUCACGGAUAUCAGAAGAAGAGAUGUACAGGAACAUAGCUACACCCAGAAUCACCAUUGCCUAAACCUGUGGUCACCUUGGAUGCCAGCAGAGCCUCAUACAACUGAACUUGUCUCUCAGUUCGUGAAGACUCGCCUUAUAGGAACCCAGUUGCCCCCCAAGUUGCGAGGAGUCCUCUGGAGCUGGAAACCAGGCUGAGAGCAAGAGUCUGACUCAGUGGCCCCAUCUGUGCGUGGAGUCCAGGACUCUCCAGGGUUGUAUGGAGAACUAGGUGAGAGCUUCUACAGAACCUAUCUGGUGCCUAGCACGACAUUCAGCAAAGCAGAUUUAAAAACUUCUUUUAUAAAGAAAACCAAGUUAUGUCUCAUCCAGAAGAGAAAAGAGUGCAUGUAAAAUUAGCAUUACAGCCCAGUGGAAGCUGUCCUGCACCUCACCCUCUCAGGAGUGCCGGAAACCUCAGUCUAGGGGCCCUUCUGCCACUCCUCCUUCUAGCCACAGGAGUCUCCAGUAGGGAGGCACCCCCUUUUUAAAAGGGGAAAGCUUUCCUGCACAGAGUCACUCGGGACACCUGCAGACCUCUUCCCAGAUGUCUCCAGCCAGUUCGAUUUAGGGUACUGGCGAUGGAUUCUUGGGAUGAGCAUUUAAAAGCAGGUGCUUCUUACCUUUUCAAAAGUUAGGGAAACAGCCAUUUAAAGCAAAUUUAACCCUCUGGUUCAUUUCUGACGAACCAGAAAUUUCCUCCCUUACUACCCAUAAUUCUUUGUCUUUCCCCGGCUUUAUCCAGGGCUCAGAAAACAGUAUUUGAGGUGUGAAGACCUGAGAGUUGUGUUUGGAGAUUACAAAGCAUAAAAUCUUAGUAUGUGUUUAUGUCGUUCACGUGUGAAUGUGCACACACACACACACACACCUGAAAACUACCUAUGGUGAUGGGGAAGGAAAUUGGCUAAAACCCUAAAAGCUGUGGGCUGCGACAGUGCUCCGAGGAAAUUCGUCUCCAGUACUAAGAUGAAAGGAGGAGGAGAUUCCAUAUGGGUGGAUGGGGAGAGCUUGGGAUACAAGGCAGAGUGGAGACUCCAGCACCUGAAUGGCCACAGUGCCACCCGUAGCUGUCACCAUCCUGCCAUCCUGGAACUGGGGAGGGCGAACACUGCCUUAGAUGCUUCAAGCCUAGGGAAGCGGGAAGCGGGGAACCUGUCCUGCUAACUUGUGCACAAGGGAAGCACUUUGCCAAGCCUCGUGAGGACAGGCCUAGGCAGUCGGUCAUCCCUGCUGGCACCCCACCCCCAGGACAAUCCUAGAUGAGCUCUGUGUGCUCCCUGGGCCUGAGGGAGGCCCAAGGCCAAGGGCCUGGCUUUUCUCACUGAUCCCAGUGCUGCUGGUGACUCCAUUUUCUGACAUGACCUCUAACAGGAGCUUGAGAAUAACGUUGAGCAAGGUCACACUCAGCCACAUUUUGAGGAACCAUCUACACUGGCCAUGAGCAAGUGCAGGUGAAGUGCUGGCUUAACAGCAUUCUCCCAGGAUGGGUCAGGAACACCAGCGAUAGCAGGUGAUGGCCCUUGGGUAAUGACUUAUGAAAAACAAAACAAAAAAAAUCCCUAUGAAUCCACUAAAAUCCAUUAAGUUGUAUGUGUUACAUGAGUGAAUUGUAUGA